rnacentral:misc_RNA from 1 species
AAUCCUCAAACCUGAAUCUUUCCCGGUUCAGGCUUUGGAUUUGGAGAGUGCCGGCCUUCGGCUCCUCUGAAAUGCAUUAGCAAGACCCUCUCUCGACGGCUUCGUGGCAUUGAUAAAGACUGUCCAUGCCCAUUUUGCCCGGCGGAAAGUGGCUGCUUCAAAAAACACUUACCCUUGAC